CCCAUCUUUACCAACACUUAGUCUUUAUCUUAAAAUCCUGAUUUCUUUUUUUUAAACCAUUUCCAUAAUAGUCAGUUGCACAACCCAACGGCAACUUCAAACACGCCUAAGAGAUUUUUAGACCAAACAAGGGGACAAGACUACAAUCACUCUCUGGUACCGUCAGCUGAAACCGAGCUUCACAUGUGGCUGUAAUGGCUCAUCUAUUAACCGAGUCUUUACAUAACAACCUCAGAUCUCUGGUGCCACAUUUGGAAAUCUGCCAGUGCUUCCACCCAAUUCACCUGAGAAGCCCCAGGGGUCUAGUUAACUGGUUUGUCAUUCACUCCCACAUGGAGUGUCUUUUAAAAUAGCAGGCAUUGCUUAAAGGAGAAGUUCACCCAAAAAUAUCAAUUCUGUCUUAAUUUAAUUGUCCUUUUGUUUACUUAGUAUUGUUUUUUUUUAAAUGUGACAAAUUUCACUUAAGUCAUUUAUUUUCGCCGAUGUAAUGAUGUCAUUCUGGCCUAAUGCAAGCAAUACAGCACGAGGUUGAGUAAAUUAUGACGUUUUAUUUUUGGGUUAAAUAUUCCGCUAAAUAGGAGUACAAAAUUGAUUUUGGGAGGACUAGAUUAUGAAAUUAAUAAGUAAUGUAUUAAGAUAGUCAGUUGCUCAGACGUUUUCUUCAUAUCUGUUGCUGAGCAACGGACACGACGACAUCGUCAGGCCAAAUCUUCACUAGCAGAACAACCGCUAGAGGACACCAACACCUAAUUUACAGAGAACUCACUCGAUAUUCUCGAUCAAAAUAAGAAACAGCUCGAUAUUAUGCAGUUCAAAGUGUAUAUACAUACAUAUACUACUCUCACGAAAGAUAUAGUAAGACAGUGUGCGUCAAUCAGGCAUUGUGCAAUUCGCGCGCAUACAAACUUUUCACAGAGAACCGACAAGGUUGAGUCUCUUCUAUUCUACCUUAUAUGGAAAUAGUCACCAACGGCUAGUAUUUAAGAACUAACAGUAUUCUUUUGUUUUAUUAUGGAAAAGGUGAGUCUUUGGGUCAUGGAUCGGUGAGCUACAUGUCAGGAGACCAAACGGAACCCUGAUUGACAGGAAAGAGAGACUUUAAUGCCGCAGGAACAUGUCCCCUGAGCUGCAGGGUUCCCGGAGACAACCUUUACGCCGCUGAAGUCAGAGGUCGUCCGUUCCAGAGGGAAACAGUGGCGACACCCCAGAGGCGUUCAGUAGACUAAUGGGACUGACUACAUCAUUAAGAAGGCAAGUUUACCAGAGAUGACUUAAGUUCAGCCAAGCCUAAAGGGGAACAAGUUUUUCUAAGAUGAUUGACAGCAACUCCGUUGAUGUGUAGGAGGAAAUGAAUGAGGCUCUUGUGAAGAAAAGGUUAGUAAUGAAAUGGAUGGAUGCAUGUGCUGAUAUAUGAUCUGAUGAAUCCUGUAUCUUUGCCAUAUCUGUUUUCUGACACAACCUCUGCUGGAAAGGGUUAAGGAGCCUUUGUUUUCUCUGAGAUUGAUUUGACUGAUUAAUGGACAGCUGCUGCUUGUGUUUGUAAGGCAUGCAUUUGGCUACACAUACUGUAGUCUUUAAAGAUGCUUCUGCAUUUAGCAGGCUUGCACAAGGCUUUGGAAAAUGAUACACACAAAAAGGCCUGUUGUCCUUCGAACCUUGGAGAAUGCAAGUGAAAAAUGAAUUGAACUCAGUUUGCUUUGUGCUGUUUUAUUCUUGGAGCAGGAAUGAUUGGGUGUGUGGGGAACUGUGCCAAGACUACACAAACACAGAUUCAUAUCCUUCAUGUCUGUCUAUGGCUUUAUGCUCGUGGAAGAGAACAAAAUGAGGAUCAAAUGUAUAAAAACAAAAAAUAAGUAGGCGUAAAGGAAUAGAGCAAAGUUUUUGUACCGCUGUACGAUGUAGGAAACUGCAAUGAUACACUUUUUAAAAAACUUUAAACAGUAUUUGACAGUAUUUAAACAAAACAUGUUUCCACUUGUAUUCUUUUUGCUUUUACAAACUGUGGUCUCAUCAGACUGUAUUGCGCUCUUAUUAGCAAAUAUUCAGUGCAUUUGUGUGGUUAUUAGUAGUGUAGUGAAGAAUCAAGUCACUUUAAUCAAAGCAGAUUUCUUUUAGUCAAUGCAACGAAUAUGUCUAAACAUAUGUUGCAGUGCAGUUGCUGUACGGUUGCUAGGGUAUUCUGAGUGGUAGCUAGGUGGUGGCUUAAGUCUAAAGAACCCUCCUCCAAGUCAAGAAA